rnacentral:lncRNA from 1 species
UUUUUUUUUCUUGUUUGGAUUUUCAUUGUUUACACAACUUUAUUAUAAUUCCCAUCUUUUUUAAAUAUUCUUUUGUAUUUGAAAUCCUUGAUACUUUGUUUUAAAAAAGAUGAGAAUUGUAACAAAGUUGUGUAGACAAAGGAAACCUAAAAAAGAAGAAAGAAAAAGAAGUAUAAGGUAGUCAAACAGCCACCUAUUUUUAGUUACCAUAUCAACAGAUAUAAUAAGUGAAACUACGUAAUUUCACAUUGUACAAAAAAUUGGACACAAAAUAUAUAUUGGACAGAGGAUCUACUCUCGAAGCCGGCAAGGUCCACACUCCACAAUGGACCGAAUGAUAAUCAAAUGAAUGUAGUUGUCAGCUACGACGCACCAAAAACACGUCAAAUUACAUUAAACCCCCUCUACUUUUUGGUAUCAUGCCCGCAGUUGUCAAGGCAGUCUUGAUCUAAUAAUUAAAGUUAAAACUUAAUUAAAAUUCUGAGAGAAAUAAAAAAAUUUAAAUUCAAAAUUUUCUUUUUUUUUUUUUACUUUUUAAAUUUCACUAUUCUCUUUUAAGAAAAAUAAAGAUUUUACGUUGUUCAAGUCUUUUCUUAUACAUGACUUAGGAGAUUUACAACCAACGUUACCCCCCCCCCCCCCCCCCCCCCCCCCCCCGCUUAACUUGUGUGUUUUAAAUUAUUUCCAUAGUCAUGUAACGGAACUUUUUCCAUCGGAAAGUUGUGCUACUUGGGGUCUACCCUAGCACACGGUGGUGGUGGUGGUGGUGGUCGGAGGUGAAUCCAACAUAACUUUUUCACACUAGAAAAAAAAAAAAUUUCCCCUCCAAGCCUGCCUCUACUAGAUCUAGGGUACUCCAAAAUUGCCACUGUUCCUUAGCUAACUAUACUCUUAACCUCAUGAUUUUGUCCAAGCUAUUAAAAAAUAAACAAACAAAUAAAUAAAAAGCUAAUCCCACAUUAACACGCCAAGAUCUUCUCUGGACUAAUUGAUGCCGAUCUUUUGGACUUCUCCACUCUCCUCCAGUUAAUUUGUAGGUGGAAUCUCAAAUUCAUUAACACAUUUUUUUUUUCAUAAUUGAAAUAUUUAAGCUGAUUUUACUGAAAUAUGGAGUUGCAAGUUUUAUAAUGACUUCUAGUUCUAAUGAACAAACGAACACCACAAAUUUGAUGGGUUUUUUUUAAAAAAAAAAAAAAAAAAAAGUUGAGUACUACUGCAGUAAUAUGUAUAAAACUACUGAAUAAUGUAGCAUUACAAGGAAAACGGUGGUUUGAUCCCGUAAAACAAUCGUAUAUAUAGUUCGAGCCCUUGAACCUCCAAAGUUGCUUUAGACUACCAUAAAUUGCUAAAUCACGUCGAAAUCAAUCCUCAGCCAUUGGCAUAAGAAAUAAAAUUUGAUGAGAACCAAAUAUAGAAAAGGUCAAUUUUUGAGCACCCAAUUGCAUUGAAAUUGUGCUCAUUGGGAAAAAAAAAAAAAUUUCCUUUGAACUUGGUCCUUUGAAAUUUCAGGACUGUGUUAAAUGCUGCCCCAACAAUUAUUUUGGCCACUCUAUCAUGAAAUUUGGUCAAACUUCCUAAGUAUAAGCUAUCGGUGUAAGAACAGCAGCCUUUAGUUGAAAUUAAGGAGCCGAAUCAAAAAGUUUGAAAACCUAAAUGAAAGUUCGGCGGUCAACUUAUAUGUUUCAACUUUUAGAGGUCAAAAUUUUGUCGUGUUUAAGACAUCCUGUUCCGCCUAAUGAAGUAUGCGCAUUAGCUUGUGGACUUUUUCAACCGGUGGACGCCUAAGUGUUAGUACACUUAAAUUAUAGCUAACUUACUCCAUCUGUCUUAUUUUGAUAAUUCUAGUUUUUUUUUUCAAACAGUUUAAAAAAAAUAGUUAAUUUUAUUGAAAAAAUAAAUUUAAAUUACUAUUUUUUUAAAAUACCCUUACAUUAAAUAAAGUUGACUUUUCAUAUAUCAAUAUAUUUUGAAAAAUCUAAAUGCAUUAAAUGGGAUAGGUUAUAUUUAGAGCUGUUAGUCGAGCCGAGUAUUUGGCUGCCGAGCUCGUUAAGAAAACGAGCUUUAAAAUGUGUUCGAACUCGGUUCGUUAAAUGUACAUGUGGCUCGAGCUCGAGCUCGACUCGUUUAUCACAAACGAGUCGAGCUUCACGAGCUCGAGCUCGAGCUCGUGCAAAUUAACAUUAAUAAAAAUCUAUAAUUUUUAAUUUAUAUAAUUUUGAUUUCUAAAAUGACAAAUAUACCCUUUAUUAACGAGCUCUAACGAGCUACUCGAGUAUCAAACGAGCCGAGCUUACUCGGCUCGUUAACUAAACGAGCAUGUUUCGAGCUCGAGCUCGACUCGUUAACCAAAAUUAACGAGCCGAGCUCGAGUCUUAACGAGCCGAGCUCUAACGAGCUUUCGAGUUACUUGAUUGGCUUAACAGCUCUAGUUAUAUUUAAUACUAAUGAUCUAUAUUAAAUAAAGUAGUUUAUAGAAAUAAUAACUUACAUUAAAUAAGGGUAUUUUAGAGAAAUUAAAAGACAAUUACAUUCUUUAAUUGGAAAGUAGACUACAGUUUGGGACAAACGAAAAAGGAAAACAGUACUAUCAAAGUGGGACGGAAGAAGUAUUAUGUAAACACAUAUCACAGUCAUCGCACCCCUACAUUUAGAUUUUUUUUUUUUUUUAUAAAACUAACACUUGAUAUCUCCUCUUAUUGAAUAUCAGCUCUAUUAGGCAUCAGUUAGUCAAACCGUACAUUCAUUACAAAAAGAGAAGUAUUUUUUUUUUGAUCAAUUACAAAAAGAGAAGUAUGGGCAUACACUGCAAACGUUAUGCUCACUUAGGUUAAAUUUAUCGACUAAGGGACCGGAGGGUUUCAGUUGAUUUGAAUGAAUUGUACACUGUUUGUUCUACAAUGUAAAUUACUUUGAACAAUGUGAAUCAAGAAACACUAUUUAACAGGUCUCACACAUAUCUUAAAAUUGAUUACAACUUGUAAUCUGAAUCUUAUAUUUUUAGCCAAGAAAAAAAAAAUCUAGGAUUGUGUAUUGAUUGGUACCCACAACAAGUUUUUUGGCUAUUAUAAGAUCACGUAAAACAUCCUUAGUAAACGGUGUAAGAAGAGCAUCAUUUAGUUGAAUUUAAGGAGCCAAAUCAGAAAAUGCCAAUGUUACGAAAAACUUAGGAUUGCAAGUUUUUCAAGAAAAAAAUUUGAAAUAUUUUUUUUAAUGUAUAUUUUUAUUUUACAUAUAUCACAUUAUUAUAAUAUAUUUUUAUAUAAAAUCCAAACGGCUAUUGAAAUGAAAUCGAGACCCUGAUAAGCUUGACGGUCAACCUGCACAUUUUCAACUUCCAGAGGUCAAAAGUUUCCUGUACUUGGACAGUUUGCUAGUCAAAAUUAAACUAAUGCAAUAGUUAAAUGGUUAUCCGUAUAUUUUGAGGCCUAGGUCGGUACAUAAGCAUUUGAUUUAUCAAUUGACUAAGGGCAAGACGGUUUAAGUUCAUUGAACAAAUUCUGAACUGUUUGUCUAAUAAUGUCAAUUAUUUUAGGGAUAAUUUCAGAAACCUCCCUUGAGGUUUCUAAUAAUUUCACUUGGCUCCCCUAAAGUUUCAAAAAUUACACCUUCCUCCCUUGUCCAUUUAAAAUGACAAUACUAACCUUAAUAUUUUUAAUAAAAUUCUCUUGUUGCCAUGUUUAGGCAAAGGAUGGAUUUUAUAUUUUUUUUACCAUUUUCCUUCUUAUUCAUUUCUCUUAUAUUUCAUUAGAAGUAUAAAAGAAAUAUCAAUGUUGUUCCUAAUAUCUAUUCAAAUUACGCUAAACUAGUAAAUUUUUUUGAUAGCUUUUAAUAUUCUCCAAUUUUUUUGGUAGUUCUUUUUUUUUUUUUGGUAUCAAAAUCAAGGAUAAGUCAAUAAUAAUUAAAAAUAAAUGGUCCAAAAUCACUGCCAAAUAUGAUAGUUCCACCACUAAACUAGUCCAUAAAUUUUCAUUUAAAAAAAUAGUCCAUAAACUUUAAAAGAAACAAAAUAGCACUCUCUAUCUCAAAAAGAAUUUGUAUUUCCAAUAAAACACUAUGAAAUAAAACUCUAUUAUAACAAAAGAUUUAUUGUUAUAGUUGAUUAUUAAAUAACAAAUAUUAGCAUGAAAACUUGACACUCUUUUUGUUUAGAAGAACAAAUUGAACUUUGUAAGAUAAGAGCAUUUUAGGGUAUUCAUUAAAUUUUUUACUCUAUUUUAAAGUGUCAAAUCAAAGGAGGUAAGUAUAAUUUUUAAAACAUUAUGGGAACUAAGUGAAAUAGUAAGAAACCUCAAGGGAGGUUUCUGAAAUUAUCCCAUUAUUUUAUACAUAGUGUUUCUCUUUUGCAAGGAUUUAUUGGGAAUUUCGCCAAUUUGGUCACUAAACAUUUUCACUUAAAUCAAUUUCGUCCUUCAUGAAAUAUUUUAACCAAUUUAGUCCUUGAACUAGUUUUUUACUUCCAAUGUAGGACUUUUUACUACAUUUUACUCAAUUCGCGUAGACCAACAGGGGUAUAAUUGUCACACUGGCUUAAUCUGCUGCAAUUAUUCGCCGAGGAGGAAGAGUGCCUGAACACUUUCCCUUUCACAAAUAAUAUACUAUCUUUUUAUUCUCAUAUAAGAAACUUCAUUAAGUGGCUUGAUUCGACAACUAUAGACCCUUUUGAUUUCAAUGCUUAAAACUAUCAUAUGCCGCCUCAAUUCAAUCAAUCGCUAUUAUUACAAAUUUUUUAUUGAGUUAAACAACCUUUUGGGAAUCCAUCUUUUGAAGCAAGUAUUGCAGAUUUACUUGCUUCAGAUGUCAAUGGCAUACAGAGCUUGAAUACAUAUCUGGCAGCAAAUCCAUCAUAUCUUGAUGUGUUGAUUUUCAUUUCAAAGAUGAACCGAAACAUAUUCAAUCCGUGUAAUAGCUUCAAGCAGAUAAUGACAAAUGGAAGUAGUUAACAUCGAAAUUUCUACAUAGCGAUUCUGUCAUAAUACUUCCUUCCUUUCACAAGACAAACCUCAGCCAAGGCUGCUUAUGGCUUCUGGCACCAGGAAAUGUGGUUGCCUUGUUUUUCUCCUCCCUCUCUGCGUGCUAUUUAUGGGAACUUCUGUAUACCCAACUCAGAUUAGUCGUAUAUAUCCUUUUGCCUGCUCUAACAGCAUCAAGACGUGCAAUUCUUACCUUUACCAGCACAAUGGCUUUAAAAAAGAGCAGAUUGCUUCUUAUUACUCGGUGAAUACAUCACAAAUCAGGCCGAUCACUGACAACAACAGAAAUGACUACCUUGUAACUGUACCUUGUUCUUGCAAAAAUGUUAAUGGCACUGUCGGGUACUUCUAUGAUACUGACUACACUUUGCAAAGAAACGACACCUUUGCAAAUGUCUCUAAUCAGAUUUAUAGUGGGUAGGCUUGGAAAGUUGGCGGAGAAGAAGACUACACUGCAGGACUGAAUGCCACCAUGCAUCUCUUGUGUGGAUGCGUAGAAAGUGACUCUCAGAUUGUGGUAACAUAUACAGUCCAACCUCUUGAUACCUUAUCAAGUACUGCAGAUUUACUUGCUUCAGAUGUCAAUGGCAUGCAGAGCUUGUAUAUUAUUUGUAAAAGGGAAAGUGUUCAGGGACUCCUCCUCCUCGGUGAAUAAUUGCAGCAGAUUAAGCCAGUGUGACAAUUAUACCCCUGUUGGUCCACGCGAAUUGAGUAAAAUGUAGUAAAAAGUCCUACAUUGGAAGUAAAAAACUAGUUCAAGGGCUAAAUUGGUUAAAAUAUUUCAUGAAGGACGAAAUUGAUUUAAGUGAAAAUGUUUAGGGACCAAAUUGGCGAAAUUCCCGGAUUUAUUUGAUGAAAUUGAAAUCUAAAGAAUAAAUUUGAAUCUAUUAAGUUAUUAAAUUAUUAAACAUUAAAAUCUUUAAAAAUUUAAAAACAUAAAGAAAUCUUAACAUUUGUGCGUACAAUGUAUUAACUUAUUAGUGAAUAACUUUUCACUUAUCUUUUUUCGAGUAAGUUGUGUCUAUAUAAUUCACAUUCACUUCAUUAAUUAAAUUGUUCUAUUUUUUAUUAUCAAAUAUAUAUAGUCGUGUUAAAAUUUGAAUUCAUUAAAUUUAAGUAUUGAAUUAAUUAAUCAAAUAGGCCCAAGUCUCACGCAAACGUUGAAAUCUAUUACGUCACCAGCAUAUGAGUUUUACAUCUUUUAAAAUUUGGUGGAUUAUUGCUGGGGGCCCUUCCGCCAUUCCCAAUUCUAGUGCUUUGAGUGGUAACGUAACAUCUUACGUCACCAGCAUAAAUUCAUUUUGCCAAAGGAAGAAAAGGAUUAAAAAUUUCAUUUCUCCAAAUGGAAAGGAGAAUAGAGAUCCUACCACUACAAACCUUGCAGCCCAUUAGCCAAAUCAGCAAAAAUUAUUCAUCAUUCUCUCACAAAAAGUUGUUUGUUUAAAUUAUAUUGCUAAUGUGAGAGUUGUAUUCGUGGACGAUUUGUAAAAACCCUUGUAAAUGACUUUCUGCUGCCGAUAAAAGUGUUAUAUUGAUGGGCAAUCAAUAAGAACUCUUGUAAGCGAUUUCUUGCUAUCGAUAUGAGAGCUAUAUUGAUGGGUGAUAUGUAAUAAUUAUUACAAGUGACGUGUGAUCUUGAGGACAUGUUAUGUACCAUAGUUGUAAUUGGAGUUAAAUCUAUCCAAAAAAAAUUUUUACCAAAAAAUAAAAAAAAAAUAAAGUAAAAAUUAUUGUAAUUAGAAAGGCGAGUUUGACCAUGAUUCCCUUUCAUUAAUUAAUACACAAGUACAAAGUUUUUUGCCUUAUUAAAAGCAAAGAGUAUAAAGCUAGAUUUCCCAACUUAGGCAGCUUCCUCAAGUUUAUAUUUAAUUGAAAAAGUCUUGAUGGCCCUUGAACUUUGAUUGAUAAUUUUCUGCAAGUAUACAGGAUCGAUCGUAGUAAUAGAAUCACUUGAAGUAUUCCAAGGUCGAAUCCAACAGACGAGUUAAUUUCCUUCUUUAAUGACUAUGAUAAAAAAAAUUGAAAGAGUGGAGAAAUUAGAGAGUAACUUUGAUGUAAUGCGAUAACAAAACAAAUUAAUUGAAAGGAAGAAAAUCAAUAAGUACGUGUAUCCCAUAAUCCUGAAAUAAUUUCCCUAAUUAUUUUCUUACCAAGUUAGGAACGCAUCACACGAAUAUAUUUUAGACUACCUCUCGAUGCAUCUAAAGUAUGUUUAACUAAAUCUUACACCUCUCUUGAUGGUCAUAAUAGUUCAAUUAAACCCAUUAAAAUUCUCAGUGAUUUAGCUGCAUCAUACAUACCCUAACCUACUCUCAUAAUUAGUCUAUGUGUGUUUAUCUAUCUAGAACACGGUUGUAUCUCAUUUCUCAAUUUGACACAAAUCCAACAUUCAUGUUCAUGGUGAUCAAGCAUAAACAGCCAUCAAGAACAAGAUAAAUAAAUCGUAGCAUAAGAUAAGAAUUUAACUGGAGGAAUCAAUCAAAAUCCUUUCGUAAACCCUAACCCUAGAAAAUAUUUAGUUCAACCUGUUAGAAAGAUUAAAAGCACAAAUCCAAAGAGUUAAUACAAAAGAGAGAAUAGGAGCUAGGGAACUUCUCAAUUGUUGCUCUGCUUCACCGCUUGUACGCUCCUUGGCUUGAUCUCCUACGCUUGACUUCUCCAGAGAAUAAAAUUGUUUUUAGGCUAAGAGCUACGGUUGCUACCCCCCUCCCCCACCCCACAAAAAAUGACCUAAAAAAUCCCUAUUUAUAAUUAUCACUAAUUGCCUUCGAAUCCUCUUCAGAAUAGGUUUCUUAUCGUAGACGAAAUACGUGCGUGAGACCAGUCUGAUGAAGACCGGUGUGAAGUCCGGCACCGGUCUUCACAGUGCAACUCACAGUAUUCAACUUCUGGUGAUAUCCGGCGUGAAGUUCGGGAACUUUUAUUGAUGUUUGACGUGAAGUCAGAUGCGCCAGUCUUUGAGCAAUUUCCAGAAGUUUGUCUUUUGGCCCUUGAAUUUUGAAUCUUUCAUACCUUUUCCACCUAAUUUCUUCAAUUCGCUCAAUUAUGUCCUUGUGAUACCAAAAUAACUUUGAAUAAGCAGCUUUCCGUCCAAUUCAAGCACAUAAAGCAUAAAUAUAACUCAAGAAUGCCUAUAAGAAAAUCUUAUAAUCUACUCCCUAUCAAACUUUUAGCUGCGUAAAGUUUUAAUUCUCGAAUAAUUAUUAAAGAAUUUUUGACCUCCUGAUCUAUUAAAAGUGCAAGCCAUUGAUCAUUUUAUCAAUUUCAACUUUUUUCUUUGGCGGAAACACCAUCACAUUCGAUGAACCAGGAAAAAUCAAAGGUAAUCUAGUCUGUCCAAAAAUACUUAUUGACUAAAAUCAAGGUCAAUCUAGUCCUUCUCUCUCUCUCUCUCUCUCUCAAGAAUACCUACAAGAAAAUCUUAUAAUCUACUCCCUAUCAAACUUUUAGCUGCUUAAAGUUUUAAUUCUUGAAUAAUUAUUAAAGAACUUUUGACCUCCUGAUCUAUCAAAAGUGCAAACCAUUGAUCAUUUUAUCAAUUUCAACUUUUUUCUUUGACGGAAACACCAUCACAUGCGAUGAACCAGGAAAAAUCAAGGGUAAUCUAGUCUGUCCAAAAAUACUUAUUGACUAAAAUCAAGGUCAAUCUAGUCUCUCUCUCUCUCUCUCUCUGAGUUGAAUCUUGGAAUGGAACCUAGCAAUUGUUGCAAGACUAUCCGAGGUAUAAGAAGAGAGGGGGAGGAAGUAGAGGAGGUGGAGGAAAUUUUUGCAGAAACAGAAUAAGGGAAGAAAAAAAGAUACGGGAAGAGGAGUGAGAAAGAGAGCUUAGGACAAAAAAUCUCAAUGACCCUUGAUUUACCUGAUGGUGUUUCCAUCAAACAUGACGACUCAAAUUAAGAGAAUGAUCAAUGGUUUCCACUUUUGAUAGAUUGAGGGUCAAAAGUUUUCUAAUAAUUGUUCCAGAGCUAAAACUUUACGCGAAUAAAAACUCGAAAGCUAGCGAAACUUUCUACCAUAUUUAAUUACUUAUACACUUUUCCUAAUUUAGACAAUUUUAAACGGACUUAUUCUAUGGAGAUUCCUUAUGCUUCAUCAAAAUGAUAACAUCAAGGAGCAUUGUUACGGUAAAAUUCGGUUAUGCAAAACUCGUAUUAUGAGAAGGGAACGACAUACUAAGCUACUGAAGAGUGAAGAGUUUAUCAUAUUUAUUUACUUGGGAAUUCAACCUUUACCAAAAUGACAAAUUUAGUCACCUACUUCCCAAUCUUUACCCUCAAUAUACAAUUCAGAUUUUCAAAAUUUCAUCUUCAACUUUCUCAAACAAAAUAGUCAUGUGAGUGUUAAGUGAAAAAAGUGUUUUGCUUUUUUAUAAUGCUAUGCUACCCAAUGCUACUUUGGUGAAAGUCAAUAACUAUUUUAAGAAUUAUUCUUAUACACACUGACAGUAUACACACGAAUAUCUAUAGAUGUAUGCCACUUAAUUUCAGUUUGAAUUUAAACUUUAUUUUUGACGCUUGUAGCAUGCAUCUAAAGUUGCUGGUAUAUGUACUAUGAGUAUAUACAAGAUUAAUGUUUGCUUUAGAAUGCAUAAUGCUAAACAUUUUAAAUGGUCUCAUGAAGUCAAGGUAUACAAGAGUCUCCCUCUUCUCUUUUCAACAAAGCACUGAGAGAAGAUACCUAAGAGGGACCCACUAGAGUCCAACUUCCAGGUGACUGGAAGGGAUCUCAAUGGACUUUAAACACUCAUACUCGACUCUUUAUUGAACUGAUGUGGGAGAAAGGGAAAGGGAAACACUUGACUUAAGCCAGCUAUUAAACCUUCACCGUGACUCUUGCUUCUUUUCAACAAAGCGCUGAGAGAAGAUACUUAAUGGGGAUCUACUAAAGUCCAACUUCCAGGCGACGGGAAGGAACCUCAAUGGAUCUUAAACACUCACACUCGACUCUUUACUGAAUCGAUGUGGGAGAAAGGGGAAGGGAAGUCGUCUUUCUCAAUAAUUGCUCAACGACAUCAUCAAUGGAAGGGAAGGGGAAGGGAGUCUCCCUCUUCUCGUCUUUCUCAAUAAUUGCUCAACGACAUCAUCAAUGACGCUUUGUCUAUCUCACAGUCAAAUGUUGCACAUGGUUUUGAUUAUUUUACUUUCAUUGUCAAUGUUAGAUAGGUUAAUUAAUCCAAAUGAACCCCAGUAAAACAAACCGUCAUUACUGUUUCGAGUCUUUUUCAUGUAAUGGUGAUAAGAGUAAUCCAAAUAUCUUCAUUAAUGCUGUCUUUUCCUGUUUUCUUUUUCCAUUUAGCAAAAUUUAAGACAAUUAAUCAAUCGAAUGCUUACGUUACAUGACCUGCCCAUUGGAGGGUCAAAAAGUAUGAACAAUCAUUUAGCUAUUGCACUAGUAUAACACAACUGGAUCGUUAACCUCAUAUAUAUAUAUAUAUAUAUAUAUAUAUAUAUAUAUAUACUAGCAUGGGUCUGGCCGUGCUACGCACUGGCCUACCCACUGAUAUGACCAACUUAAUUAUGGAUUAAAAAAAUUGCUAUUUAUUGAAUUUUUUUAUUUUUUGAAUUUGCUGUAACAAUGAGGAUAAUUUGCUAAAAGAUCAUAAUGUAUAUAUAGGUUCAAGAGGUAAAUAAUAUACAAAUCACAACCAUACAUUACAUAAACUAAGUCAUUCAUGUCUCAAUAGAAUACAUAUUUGACUGCUAGCCACAGUUACAUAUUAGGAGGCUUAAAUAAGCUUCAUUGCUUAUUGAAUUACAACAUUGUUGGUUAAACCAUUAAUAGUUAUAUUAGGAUCCAUUACUUUUUUAAGUCAAAAGAAUAACGAAUCAUAAUAUAAUUCAGAACAUAUUGUCUAAGCAAUGAAGGCAGGCACUAAGGAAAUUAACAAAGGUUUAACAAAAGUACAGAAUUAGGCCAUAUUAGACUUGUUUAGCUUUAGCUUUCUUUGCUGGACUGUCUUUGAUAUUGCCAGGUGGACUAUACAUACUUCUGGUUUCAUUGUUAGAUUUUGAAUAUGAAAACCAGAAGUGCGUACUUUUAAUGUUGAAAUUCGUAUGGUACGAAACUCCAUUAACUCGUUAUUAUUAUUUACGAAACCACUUCCUCGCCACACACAGAUCCAAGUCCAACGUUUUUUAAGAUAUUCCACAAGUAAACAAGAGAAGAGAACAAAAAAAAAAAAAAGCAUUUUUUUUGGUUUUUUAUUUUUCCACCACAAAAAAGGAAAUAAAGAAUAUAUAUAUAUAUAUAUAAAGAGGCUGCCGGAAAAUUGCUGUCCAAAUGGAAAAAAGUAAAAGUCUAAAAAAGAAUGUAGAAAAUGAAAUUAAGUAGUAAACAUGGAAGCUGCUCAAACAUCACAGCUUUUGCUUAGCAGAUUUUUUGUCUGUCAUUUGUGUCCAAUCCCGGAAUACAAUACGAGCCUUAAAAGAUGUUUGUGCUGUAUAACUUGAAACGGGAAACUAAAAGCGGCAAAAUUGGAUAAAUGGUUAACCAAAACUCGCUGCGUGCUAGUGUUAUGUGAGUAGUCGAUAAUAGUAGCGUAUUUGAUUUGGUCUGAAAACAAAUGUUUUGAGCAUAAAGCCAUCUGUACCUGAGAAGACCGACUCGUUUGGAGUAUUUAGCGAGUCUGUUGAAUUAUUAACGCUUCAUUUAAUUUGUGCAAAGACAUAUAUAUAAAUCUAGCUUCCAAUUCAUAACAAACAGCUAACAUCAUCAUGCAACAUUUGAAAUUAAAAACAGAGGAAAAAGCAAACAUAAGCUAAUCCACAAAAUUACCAUCAUAGUUAUUCUUUUAUGCAUAACAUCAAAUAACAUGGCGGUCUUUAAUCAACAGAAGGCAACAACAUUCAAACUGAAAAAUUGCAGUUCAGAAUAGAAGGAAAGAAGAUAGAAACAUACCUUUUUUUUUUUGAAGCAACAAUAUGAUGGAAAAAAAGCAUGUUUCAGAACAAGAAUGUCGUAUCUCUAUCACUCAUUUCCUAAGCAAAAUCAGGGACACCAACUAAUACUAAACAAAAACAAAAGCAUAACGAAACUUCUAAAUGAAAAAGACCAACACUUUGAUGCUCAUUAGUCGAAAAGACUGAAGCCUAUAUUGUCAUCGGACUCCUCUUUCUCUUCUACUUUCUCCUCUUUCUUAUCCUCAGCAGCAGGUGCAGCGGCAGCACCACCACCAGCGGGUACUGAAGCCAACUUCUCCCUACUAGCUGCAAUCAGCUUUGUGAUAUCCUUACCAUCCACUUGAGAUAAAAGCAAAUCGAUUUUUUCAUCAUCAGCAUCAGCUCCAACGGAAGCAAGGAUCGCCUUAAUAUCCUUGGCAGAGGGACAGGUGUUUCCUCCCAACAAGGCCAACAAAUAUGCGGCGACCACCUUCAAGAUACAGUGGAAAUCCAGAAGAAUGGAGAGAUUGAUUGCUGAUCGGCUGCGGCGCCCGAAGGUAGGGUUUUAACACAAGGAAAAUGAAACGUACCUGAGUUUUCUUUGCUUGUCUGAAUGCUGGCAAAAGUCGGAAACAGAAGUUAUAUAAGGCUCGUUGUAUCUCUUUUGUCUAAGUUUUGAAAGUUGUACAAUACAUGAUUAAAAUUCUUUUUUGAAAGUAAACAUCACUUCAAAUCAAAUACCAGGAAAAGAGGAGAGUUUCUAUGCUAAAUUCAAACCAAGUACCAAAAUGAUUGAUAAAUUGGUACCGGAUUCAUCCCUAAAGUGAGCUGAUUUUGGGGAAAAGAAAUGUCACUGAACUGAUCUUGGGGGCAAAAGAAAUCUUCACGUGCGUGGAGGAUUUUUUGGGUUGCAAUCAAAAGGAAGUACAAUUAGUUGUCGGAGGAAUUCGUAGAAAAGUGAAGAUUUUGCAGACCUAUAGGUACCUAUCUCACCGAAAGAAAGUGGAAGGAAGUUCUGGUUCUAAAAGCUAAACAACGACCAAAAAUGAUGAUUAAUAGAGAAUCAUUAAGGCUAAGUGUUACACUAACCACUUGUUAAUUUUGGUGCUCCACUAACUAACGGGUCUAACAUGAGUUAUACUAAUAUAGGACUGACUCCAUUAUCUUAAUUAAUCUAAAAACAGGCCAUGUGAUAAAAGGAGCCCACAAAUAGUCUACAACUAUUUGCAUUUGAUCAGAAAUUUAUAAAAGAAAUAAUUUCAAAUGUACAAAAAUAACCCUAAACAGUUAGCAACUAUUUAAAGAGUUAGUUUUCAUAAAAGGAUUCAAUUGACCUUUCCCACCAAUUAAAAACCAAACAAAAGGAACAAAUGAAAAUAGUUAAACCAUUAUUACCAAUUAGCCCCUAAAUAGAAAGGAACUAUUAAGCCUUUGAAUUGGGACACCAAGGCUCAAAUAGACAUUUCACAUGAUAUAUAUAAUGAUUAUAUAUAUAUAUAUAUAUCAGUUCACAUCCUGGCGGUGUGGUGGGCUUGGGUUGAGCGUUUGCCAAGAAAAAGAGCAGUGAAAAAGCAGGGGACUGCUGGGGAGGGUCGGAGAUGCUGGAGCAGCAGCAGCAGGAGGUAAAGGAUGGAGCAACAAAGGCGAUCAUUCUCUGCGGAUUGUCUCGUCUGCUCUGUUGCGUAUUUCUUGGUAGUGAUAUUCCGCUAGUCCACCAAGAGGUACCAACCAUGCAUUUAAAGAUAAAUUACCAACUUCAAACCAGAAGAAAAUGGAGCAACCGCAGAGUCAAUGACAGAUUAAUCGUCCACCAAGAAAGAAAACAGCCAAAUUUGCAUAUACUGGAGGCAGCAUCACGAGGCAAUGCAAUUCAUCCGCGACAAAGAAUUUAACAUCCCACAGGACAAAGUGCUGUAAUCUGCUAGACAGAAUCAGUAAUUGCAGUAAUCGGACCUCCACGAAUCACAAAAUAUCCAGAAACCACAAGAACCGGUUAAACGAUCCAUUAUAACUCAUACAUUAGCACUCAACCUUGAGUCUUCAAGUUUAACCCAAACUAUAAGACACACAGCUAAAACAUAAUCUGGAUGUAGCACUACAAUAACACCGAGUUCUCUGAGAAUGAUACUUGUUCUAGAAAUGGAAGCAAAAUGACUUAGAAAUUGGGAGGCAAAAAUGAUGGUAGACUAUACGUCAAAAUAC